rnacentral:lncRNA from 1 species
GAAGGGAGCAGGCAUCAUAGAUGGUAUUACAGGCGGCUGGUCUCUCCUCUCUCAGCCAACUAUGAGAACUAUUUGGGAUUGAAGGAGAUAAGCUACAGCAAGUCGUUACUUGUCCUGAAUGCACGACCUUCUUUCUUUGAGCAAGAGGACAAACCUGGGUAGGGAUCUCUAUGAUGUUUUCUGCGUUGCCCGUGGACGUUCAUCUUUCUGAUUUGUUAGCUGAAGAUGAGGAUCUGGAGCAGGAGCUCGGAGUGCCAUUGUUCCAUGGGCAGAUGUGCAGCAGAGAUUUCCUAGGCCGCUAAGACGUCAGGGGAGCUGAUACACACUUCCAAGAACACGGAGACAUCAAAGGGAGCUGAGAGUCCACAGCGGCAGCAAAACAGGUGCUGCUUCACAUGCCCUUUGCUAAGAGUCCUGGAGUUUGAAGUCUCCACGGCCGAUCUAAAAGCAAGUUCCUGAGGAAGGAGCCGGAAAGUUCUCUGAAACCAGUAGUGGAAGCUAGUCUCUAAUAAAACAAAAUGUUACCACGCUUCUGGAAAGAUUCCACACAUCAAACAUUGAAUAAAAAGGACAAUUCGAUUAACUGAGGCUGAUUUCUUUUGACAAAUUGACUUUGAAAAGGAAUUCAGAGCAAUAAAAAGGCCACGCCCUGACUUGAAAGCUUUAGCUGCUGGAGGGAGAAUUCACAACGCAUUUGCAAGGGGCUGCCGUAAUCAACAUGUUUGUAAAACAGGAUGAAGGACUGCCCAUAAAUUUCAAACCCAAAUGAGCAGAAAAGCACACAAAGGAGAAAAUGAUCAAUUCAAGGCCCAAAUGCCGGCGUCGUGUAAAACGUAACUCAUUGAACACACACGCGGUUG